GCUAUCUUCAUGGAGGAAUGAGGCCCUGGGGGUCUAGGAAAGUUUCUCAAAGUCCAGGCAAGGCCAUGAAAACCAGCACCUAUUUCUAAGAGAAAAGGCUCCAAAACCUACAAAGUGAACAACAGGGUUUCCUGUCAUCCUCAGAAUACUGUAGAAAAGAAUGCAGUAUCACAGCUUUCUCCAAGAACACAGCAUUUUUAAGUAUACAUACUCAGAUGAAGGAGAAAGAGAAAAUAGUCAGAGAAAUAGAAGAACCAGGGAUCCUAAAGCCAAGGAAGGAGAAAAGAGCAUCAAAUAGAUGGUUAACAAUGUGAGAAUCUGAAAAAGUUUGAGGAUGAAGACUAACAGGGAAAAAUAAGAUUCCCUUGAAGAAACUAGCUUCAAUUGAAAAGUAUGGAAGCACUGAAGAAAGGACCAGACAGUGAUGAAGUGUGGUACAAACGACUUUUUCAAGAAAUUUAACAGUGAAGGAGAAGAAAGAGAGAAGUUACACAAGAUAGAAGGAUGAGGGAAAUCAUUUUUUAGAAGAGUGGAAGGCUUUUUACAUCAUUUUUUACAUCAAUUCUCCUAAAGGACUAAUGUUAUAACACUUUUUUUCUUCUCUGACCUCAUCAUUAUUGAUGACAACUUUCUAUUACAUUAUAAGCUUCUUAAAGGCAAAUAUUACGUUCUCUAAACCUUUUUAUCUCCUCCACCAACAAACACAGAACUCCCUAAUAUAAAUUAAAUGUUUGUUAGUU